UAGGGAAUCUUCGGCAAUGGACGAAAGUCUGACCGAGCAACGCCGCGUGAGUGAAGAAGGUUUUCGGAUCGUAAAACUCUGUUGUUAGAGAAGAACAAGGACGUUAGUAACUGAACGUCCCCUGACGGUAUCUAACCAGAAAGCCACGGCUAACUACGUGCCAGCAGCCGCGGUAAUACGUAGGUGGCAAGCGUUGUCCGGAUUUAUUGGGCGUAAAGCGAGCGCAGGCGGUUUCUUAAGUCUGAUGUGAAAGCACCCGGUUCAACCGGGGAGGGUCAUUGGAAACUGUGAGACUUGAGUGCAGAAGAGGAGAGUGGAAUUCCAUGUGUAGCGGUGAAAUACAUAGAUAUAUGGGGAAACACCAGUGGCGAAGGCGGCUCUCUGGGCUGUAACUGACGCUGAGGCGCGAAAGCGUGGGGAGCAAACAGG
rnacentral:rRNA from 1 species